CGGCAACAACAAAUUUCAUUCGGAUUAGCGUCGGAAAAAUUACAAUAACAAAGGAGCCAGUUGAGCAAUGGCUUGGAUAACUCAGGUCGGUUCAUCACCGAUUGGUAUAUGCAUUGGGUAUAUCUGUUUUCAAUCUUUUUGUAUCACGCAUCGGACACGGGAGAAUAGCUUUAAGUUCUUCCGAGCUUUUUCCCCCGAAGCGUUCCGCUUCUCUACUGACAGUAGUUCCUUGGAUCUGCCUGGUGACAGACCGACAUCGUACCAUCGUACGGACAUAAUGAGAUUUAAAACUCAAGAAACAUUGCUAUCACAGGCUCCGAUCGCUGAUAAGGUGGACAAUGACGGUCCCCAUAACUGAAGCUUACGAUCCGAAGUUAGAACAUCAAAAAUUCAAAGGAAGACAAGGAGUUCAUAAUGGUUCAGUGUAGGAUCCUGAAACCACAAACAAUGGACAUAAUGAGAUUUACAACUCAAGAAACAUUGCUAUCACAGGCUCCGAUCGCUGAUAAGGUGGACAAUGACGGUCCCCAAAACUGAAGCUUACGAUCCGAAGUUAGAACAUCAAAAAUUCAAAGGAAGACAAGGAGUUCAUAAUGGUUCAGUGUAGGAUCCUGAAACCACAAACAAUGAAAAACUUAUGUGGAAAUUGGUUGGCGGCACUCCAUCCCAGCGGCGAGAAUUCAGAGCUUUGUAACGUUGAAAUCGACAAUUCGGUUUCCGAUUAGAUGUCGAUGAGCACGGGACGUUUAAAAUUCAAAGGUUUAAUGGAUGCCAAAAUGCUACAUAAUUUAUUAAGACUCUGAAAAAACAAUGUUUAGU